rnacentral:rRNA from 1 species
GGAAACUAGAAUUCCAAGUGUAGGGGUGAAAUCUGUAGAUAUUUGGAAGAAUACCAAUGGCGAAGGCAAGUUUCUACAGAUU